rnacentral:rRNA from 1 species
GAUGAACGCUGGCGGUAUGCUUAACACAUGCAAGUCGAACGGAAUCUUCGGAUUCAGUGGCGGACGGGUGAGUAACGCGUGAGAAUCUGGCUCUAGGUCGGGGACAACCACUGGAAACGGUGGCUAAUACCGGAUGUGCCGAGAGGUGAAAGAUUUAUUGCCUAGAGAUGAGCUCGCGUCUGAUUAGCUAGUUGGUGUGGUAAGAGCGCACCAAGGCGACGAUCAGUAGCUGGUCUGAGAGGAUGAUCAGCCACACUGGGACUGAGACACGGCCCAGACUCCUACGGGAGGCAGCAGUGGGGAAUUUU